UGGGGAAUAUUGGACAAUGGGCGAAAGCCUGAUCCAGCCAUGCCGCGUGUGUGAAGAAGGUCUUCGGAUUGUAAAGCACUUUAAGUUGGGAGGAAGGGCAGUUACCUAAUACGUUUCUGUCUUGACGUUACCGACAGAAUAAGCACCGGCUAACUCUGUGCCAGCAGCCGCGGUAAUACAGAGGGUGCAAGCGUUAAUCGGAAUUACUGGGCGUAAAGCGCGCGUAGGUGGUUUGUUAAGUUGGAUGUGAAAUCCCCGGGCUCAACCUGGGAACUGCAUUCAAAACUGACAAGCUAGAGUAUGGUAGAGGGUGGUGGAAUUUCCUGUGUAGCGGUGAAAUGCGUAGAUAUAGGAAGGAACACCAGUGGCGAAGGCGACCACCUGGACUGAUACUGACACUGAGGUGCGAAAGCGUGGGGAGCAAACAGGAUUAGAUACCCCUGUAGUCCCUGAGCGGGCUGGCAAGGCG
rnacentral:rRNA from 1 species